UAUUGAUAAGAAGACAUCUUUUUGACUUAGAUUGAUUCUGUAUAGUAAAAGUCUCAAUAUAUUUGUUUCCAAACAACAAAUGAACAAAAUACUGGAAAUCCAAAAGAAACAUUCUAUUUAGGAGAAUAAUUUCGUAGACAUCCUCAGUACCUCUGCCAAUGGAGAAUCCGCCAUCUUCGGUGGUGUAAUGGUGGCCGCACCACUGAUACUGACCGCCGUCUUCCAAUUUUGAGGAUUCGUUGAGAUCGUUGUCGUCUACAAAGAAGAUGUCGCACAGUCAAUUGCAGGAUCUAGAGCAAACAUGUGGUGCUGUAUAGAAGUGGUGCUUUAUAAACAAGUGGUGCUGUAUAAACGAUAAGCAUACUAAGUUUUGAAUCACUUCAAAUAAAACCAACGAAAUAAUACCGAGCAAUCUUUGUAGUCAAUUGCAAGAUCUAGAGCAAACAAGUGGUGCUGUAUAGAAGUAAACAAACUAGACUUCUAACAUUGAUAAUUUGGCAUGCAUUGCGUCUCUGCAUUUGCAGUAAAAUGUCCUAUGUUAAAUCAAGUUAUUUUUCUGCUAAGAUAGUAGAGCAGUAAGCAGGGAUAUGUGUUUCUAGCUUUUGACUCUGCCAAUGAAUGGUAGUAGUUCAAAGAUGUUAGUAUUUUCCAAUUAAACAAAAGAACUUGGGAUGGACCUAAUUGCUUAUAUUUAUUUCUUUUUUUUUUGGGGAGGGAGGAAAUGAUUUUCUAUACUCAUUUACAAUUUGAAUAGAAGAAGAUGACCCGAUAAAGAUUUCCUAUUUUUUAUUUCUGGGUCUGCUAUGCUAUUUUUACUAAUUUCCUAUAAAAAUAAUAUUUAUAAUGAACUAAAAAACCAAAUCUCCCGAGUGGAAACAUCAUUUGAAUUGCAAUCUCAUCCAUAAUCUCUCUGACGAUCUAACAGCUUGUUUGGAUGGUUGUUACUUAUUGUAUUGUAUCAUAUUGUUACUUUAAAUACGAUGUUUAUUUUGAUUGUUACUUAAAUUUUAUUUAUUGUAUCGUUAAAUCUGUCAUUACGUAAUGACGAAAAGUGCCACUUUAUGUAACGACCGAUUUGGUGUGGUCGCAUCAUUACUUUGUCUUUUUAUCUCAUCUCACCCUUCAUUAUUAUUAAAUAAUUUUAUUUUAUCCUUUACUCCACCUUUUAGUAUAAUAAUUCUACCUCGUAUCAUAAUUUUUCUUUAUAAUAUUGCAAGUUUAUUCUUCAUAUUGCUGAUGCGUGAUAUCAUGAAACGAUGGCAAAUGAUAUAAUCUAUCCAAACAUAAUAUUCAUCAAACGAUACAAUACAGUAUCAAUGUGUUU